GCGUUUGUAGCUCAACGGGAAAGAGCGCCUGCCUACGAAGCGGGAGGUUGGAGGUUCGAGUCCUCCCAAGCGCGCCG
rnacentral:tRNA from 1 species